rnacentral:tRNA from 1 species
GGUUGUGGCUCAUCGGUAGAGCGCUCCUCUAGAACAUGCGAGGCCCUGGGUUCGAUCCUCAGCACCA